rnacentral:rRNA from 1 species
GACGAACGCUGGCGGCGUGCUUAACACAUGCAAGUCGAGCGGAAAGGCCCUUCGGGGUACUCGAGCGGCGAACGGGUGAGUAACACGUGAGUAACCUGCCCCAGACUUUGGGAUAACCCUCGGAAACGGGGGCUAAUACCGGAUACGACACAGCUUCGCAUGGGGUCUGUGUGGAAAGUUUUUCGGUUUGGGAUGGGCUCGCGGCCUAUCAGCUUGUUGGUGGGGUGAUGGCCUACCAAGGCGACGACGGGUAGCCGGCCUGAGAGGGCGACCGGCCACACUGGGACUGAGACACGGCCCAGACUCCUACGGGAGGCAGCAGUGGGGAAUAUUGCACAAUGGGCGGAAGCCUGAUGCAGCGACGCCGCGUGAGGGAUGACGGCCUUCGGGUUGUAAACCGCUUUCAGCAGGGACGAAGCGUAAGUGACGGUACCUGCAGAAGAAGCGCCGGCCAACUACGUG